GGUGGUGAUGAAUUGACUGUUGGACUAGAUGAUCUUAAAGGUGUUUUCCAACCUUAAUGAUUCUGUGAUGAUCACAGAAGACUGAAACCUAGUGGGAUCAGUGUCAAGGUAGUGCCGUAAAAUUUUGCAGUAUUUCUACAAUCUUUAUUUAAUUUCAGUCAUGAACCUGCUUUAGAGACUCGAAUACUAUGUUGAUAUUACAGAUAAAAGGAAAAUAAAGCCAGGUAUAAUUGGAAACUAGAGGAUUUUCAGUUUAAAGAGAACUAAGUCUGUGGUGGACAAGGUAGUAUGGUAAAUAAUUAUCAGUGCGUUUCUGUUUUGCAGAUCCAUAUAAUAAGAGUUCUAAAAAACAUCCUUGUGACUGCAUCAAUUGCCUACAGACUAUUUGAAGGAAAUAAUAAAAUGUAUAGUGUGAAACUGCUGUUAUUUAACUAGCAAGGCAGAGUUGCACACUGUUACCAAGAAAUGCCCUGAAAUGUAUGUGAGACAGUUGCAGUUUCCAAGUUGCAUGUUUAAACAGGAAUGCGCGCUUUUGUUCUACUUUCUUCCCCUCAUUUAAUCAUAAUGAAGUCACUUGUGACAUUACAACGGUUUCCAGAGCAACAGUCCAGUCAGAUGUGAUGAGCACAAGAUAAGGGUGUGUGCAGGAGAGCUCUGUAAGCCACUCGUGAUCCAGAUGGGGAGUUCAGCAUAAAUCUCCCAGGUCAAAUAAGCAACUGGAUCUGUCCUCUUCUGUAUGAGAAGAUGGACUUUCAUACAAUGGAAUCAGACUCUGAAGCAGCACUGAAGAAAUAUGUCACCUGUUCUACAUACAUAAUGUUAAUUGGAAAAACAAAGUAGAAAAAGCUACCAUAAGGCAGCACUUAAAGUUGCAGUAACAUGAAUGAUAACCUAAUGAAUGGCCAGACUCAUCGUCCUUCAACAUUUGACUAUCAAAUUACCCAAGAACUUGAAGACAAUGCAUUAUGAAUGCAGAACAGAAAUGAACUGCUUUAUCACCAAGUAUUAAAAAUUAUUUGAUAUGAUGUUAAUAUCUGUGGACCUAAAGCAAUGCUGAAGAGCAAAAUACUCAGAGAAGUAGGACAAAGAUCCAAGAUGCACAGAAGACCAAAGAUGCAGAUAGUACAACUCUAAGGCCUCCUUUCUUCUCCUUUCUCUAAAUAAACUUCAAACCAAACACA